rnacentral:rRNA from 1 species
AAACAACUUCCGGCAUCGGAUUUCUUGGCUCUUGCAACGAUGAAGAACGCAGCGAAUUCCGAUACGUAGUGUGAAGUGCAAAAUCCCGCGAAUCACCGCGUCUCUGACCCGAGGAAGCCCGAGGGGGGGUCGCGCGCCCCCUCCCCCCGCGGGGUGGUCCGGGACCCCUCCCUUUCGCUCUUAUACAUAAACAAGGGGGGAGACACACACACAGAACCCCCCACAAAAAAAACGGCCGUGCCACUUGACCACGUGGCGCGGAAGUUGGUUUGGCUGAACUGGAGCGGUAUUUGGCCGCGGGGGUUGUCUCUCCAGCCCACACCACAGUGCUCUGGGUCCGCCCUUUGAUCUCGUACGUGCGCGCCCGGCCAUCACCCAGGAAAAAACACCCGGUUUAAAGCCCGCCUCCGCUAGUCCGGCCCUACGGCCGCCCCUGGACCCCUACGUCUGCCCUUAGGGACCCGGUCAAUCCCCGUA